UACAGAGGGUGCAAGCGUUGUUCGGAAUUAUUGGGCGUAAAGAGCUCGUAGGUGGUUCGGUAAGUCGGAUGUGAAAUCUCCAGGCUCAACCUGGAGGGGUCAUUCGAUACUGCCGGUGACUAGAGUUCGGUAGGGGGAGUGUGGAAUUCCUGGUGGAGCGGUGAAAUGCGCAGAUAUCAGGAGGAACACCCCGUAGCGAAGGCGGCACUCUGGGCCGAUACUGACACUGAGGAGCGAAAAGCGUGGGGAGCGAACAGG
rnacentral:rRNA from 1 species